CAUGGACAUAUGCCUAUGAUAAUGCCCAAUUCACUUGUUUGUUUUCCAGAUUAUGAUGCCCACACAGGAUUUUACCACGUACAUGUGGCGGAAGGCAUGCAGCUGCUGCAAAAGUGCUCUUGGACACAGCGGCUCUCUGGACCUCCAGGAGGAAAGCUGUUCUCAAGCAACAUUCACAGUUCAGCAGGAGGAAUCACCCAAUUUUCUUUGAGGUUUUCACAUACGACAGUGUAGAUUAACAUACUCUAAAGCUGCCUGCAGUGUGACCCAAAGGGAGAUCAUCCAUCAGCCUGUAUACUAUACCUUUUACAGUGCAAGUUUCAUUAGGAGGCAUCACUAGCAGUCGAUCUCCAACUUGAACAUAUCCUGCUUCAAUUUUACCAGUCACACAAAAUCCUGAUCCUUGAUCUGCAACAAAAACGUUGGUUGGAGAAAGCAAAAGUA